rnacentral:lncRNA from 1 species
AUUAAACACCAGAGAAUCUACAGCAGCCAGCAGCAUUAUAAACACUUCAAGAUUCAAAAUACUGGAAGAACUUUACACAGACAUACAACUUCCUGAGCUCCAGAAAUUCACAUGGGGGGAAUUUGUGACCUGAGAGAAAACAGCUUUCAAACUCUGAAGACACCAGGCACCAGCCAGGAGAUACAUCUGAGGCUGCAUGAGGGCCUUAACCGGCCCUCAUCUUCCUUGGGAGAAAACCAGUGCUGGGAGGAAGCUCCAGUGUCCACCAGUGCUUGGGCGGCUCGGCGGAGCAGAAGCACAGCACAUCUGGUGGGCAUGUGCUGGGGAGCACCGCUGGGUGCUCAGCGGUAUCCACAGCAACUAUAUGAAACAAGGACUAUUUCUUCAUCAAACUGCCAAAAUAAAUAG